CUCCUACGGGAGGCAGCAGUGGGGAAUAUUGCACAAUGGGGGAAACCCUGAUGCAGCGACGCCGCGUGGAGGAAGAAGGUCUUCGGAUUGUAAACUCCUGUUGUUGAGGAAGAUAAUGACGGUACUCAACAAGGAAGUGACGGCUAACUACGUGCCAGCAGCCGCGGUAAAACGUAGGUCACAAGCGUUGUCCGGAAUUACUGGGUGUAAAGGGAGCGCAGGCGGGAGAACAAGUUGGAAGUGAAAUCCAUGGGCUCAACCCAUGAACUGCUUUCAAAACUGUUUUUCUUGAGUAGUGCAGAGGUAGGCGGAAUUCCCGGUGUAGCGGUGGAAUGCGUAGAUAUCGGGAGGAACACCAGUGGCGAAGGCGGCCUACUGGGCACCAACUGACGCUGAGGCUCGAAAGUGUGGGGAGCAAACAGGAUUAGAUACCCUGGUAGUCCACACUGUAAACGAUGAAUACUAGGUGUGCGGGGACUGACCCCCUGCGUGCCGCAGUAAACACAAUAAGUAUUCCACCUGGGGAGUACGAUCGCAAGGUUGAAACUCAAAGGAAUUGACGGGGGCCCGCACAAGCGGUGGAUUAUGUGGUUUAAUUCGAAGCAACGCGAAGAACCUUACCAGGGUUUGACAUCCUGCUAACGAAGUAGAGAUACAUUAGGUGCCCUUCGGGGAAAGCAGAGACAGGUGGUGCAUGGUUGUCGUCAGCUCGUGUCGUGAGAUGUUGGGUUAAGUCCCGCAACGAGCGUAACCCCUAUUGUUAGUUGCUACGCAAGAGCACUCUAGCGAGACUGCCGUUGACAAAACGGAGGAAGGUGGGGACGACGUCAAAUCAUCAUGCCCCUUAUAUCCUGGGCUACACACGUAAUACAAUGGCGGUCAACAGAGGGAAGCAAAGCCGCGAGGCAGAGCAAACCCCCAAAAGCCGUCCCAGUUCGGAUUGUAGGCUGCAACUCGCCUGCAUGAAGUCGGAAUCGCUAGUAAUCGCGGAUCAGCAUGCCGCGGUGAAUACGUUCCCGGGCCUUGUACACACCGC
rnacentral:rRNA from 1 species